CACCACGAGCUUCCUCAAAAAGCGCCUGAAAUUCAAAAGACAUCUGUCCAAAAACUGCCGGGAUUUCUUGGACGCGUGUUUAACCAAAGUCCCGGAGACGCGGCCGACGCUGGAGGAGCUACAGCAUCACACUUGGCUGAGAUAAGCCUAUCACACACACACACAAACACACACAAUUCAGACGUUAUCAUUUAUGUGUGAUGUAUGAAUUACCUUUCUUUUUUUCAGGAAAUAAUUUUUUUUAAUUGGCCCACUUUAAAUUUCAGUGUUUUGGAAUUCCUGUAACCCCCCCAGCCAUCCCAGGAAAGGGGAUCUCUCUUUGAAUGGGCUUUCCCGAGGUUUCUUCCCGUCAGUCUGGCCCCCCAGGGGAGUUUUUCCUCGUCUUCAUAGAGAGCUUGGGCUGGCUCAGGAGCUCCAUCAAAACUGUCUUUAUUUAAUUACUCUAAUGUAAUCAUAUACUUUAAAGUAAUCAAAUAAAAGACAGUAAAAAUCUGAAGACUUGAAGUAAACUUCCAUUAAAAUAAAACUUGUUUAAUUCAU